rnacentral:lncRNA from 1 species
AUGCUCCCCCCCCCCCCCCCCCGCUACCCGGGGGUUGGCGGAGGGGCAGCACAUCUCCGGGUUGGGCAGCCACAUAGGCCCCAAAGGCCCCCGGAGGGAGGACGGACGAGGCUGGCGCUAGUUAGCCAGGGGCCCCCGCACUGCAGCUCGGACGCGGGUGUUGAGGAACGUUCUGGAGCCCGCUGUUCGCACGGGCAGGGCGGGCGCACGGCGCACUCCCUUGGGCGGCAUCCAGAUGUCCGGGCCACUUGGGCCCCAGCUCCAGGGUUUCUGCAGUUUGUCCGAAGGCAGCAGAGGGGAGGGUGGGGACCCCGGGCCUGGAUCGGCAGGCUGAGAGCCCAGUCUGGGGAAUACGACGUUUCUUCUCUUUUGUCACUGCAGGGAGCCAGGGAGGCAGAGCUGUGGGGGCAGCUCGGGGAGACCGGUCCCCAGCGGGGCCGGGGAGGAGCCCUCGGGAGGCAGGCGAGGAACCUGGGGCCUGUAGCGACCCGGAGGAGCUGGGAAGAGGGUCGUAUAGGUUGAUAUUGACGCCAAGGAGUGGGGACGGGAGGAAUCCCGUUUGCCUGUUCCAAGAUUCUAGUUGCUGAAGUCUAGGCUGCCUUCUUGUAUAUUUUUCCAGCUAUGAGUCAACUCAUUGCAGUUUCAGGGGUCCCAUCCAAGAGAGGUCUUCAGCUGGCAUCAGAUGUGUUGGUUCCAAUGGUGACGCAUUUAAAAUAAUAAUGAUGAUGCAAAUGUUAGGGCUCAGGCCAGGCCCCUGGUAGAGUGUCUCCUCACACAUUGUUACUUAGUUCGCAUAACAACCCUGUAUAGUGGAUAGUAUUCUUCUCUCACCCCAUUUGACCAAUGAGGAAACAGAUACAGAAAAGCUAAGACACAUGCCCGAGAUCACACAGCUAGCAAGUAGCAGAGCUGGGUUUUGAACCCCUCCCUGUGUCUCUCCAGAAAUGGAGCUCUUAACCACGUGCCUCCCAAACAAUUUAAUGUGUUUUCCCUCCAUUUCACUGUCCUAACAUUUCUUGAGGGUCUGCUGUUGACUAUCGUUGAAGAGAAUGAUUGCAAAAACCUUGAAUGAGCAUGGGAAAUGCUGAGGAUGGGAUUUCCAUGGAAAAGAGAGGGAUGCUUAACAGACUGGGUGCUGUGGCUGUAAUUGUCAGAAAAUGUUUAAGAGUAGGGACAGAUGGAAAAAAUCUUAUUAGAAUAAUUGUGGGUGAACUUUAGUUCUUUUUUUUUUGUUUUUUAUUCUCAAAAAUAUCCUUAACGUCAUUGUUUCAUAGUCUUUAUAAAUACACCGCCACAUAAAGUAACAGAAGCCCUCUGGCUUGAUUGUCAUACCGAACAUGGCCAUGUGGUGUCCCUCUAGCUCAGUCUAAACCUCAGAGAUGACUGACUUCCCCUAGUCUCCUCCUGGAUGAGGGGCAGGCUGGUCUGAUCAGAUCCGAAGCCCGAGGGCCAGCUCCUAGGUGCUGGGGCUGCAAGGACGUUACGGCUGGAGGAGGCAGAAAAACAACCACACUGUGUCAAA